AGGCAGUGAUGAUGAUCAGUUUGAAGAGGAAAAGGAACUUAUUAUCAAAGAAAUAGAAAGAGUAUCUCAACUCUCAAAUCUUGAUUCUUAGAUACAGAACCAGUGAUUAUCUUUGGUCAAAAUAAUAGCCACCGCCUGCGUUUGGAUUUUUAAUCUGAUUAUAUGCGCGUCAGUUAUUGAAUAUAAAUCAAGUGAUCUUUUGACUAGUGGAACAUUAUUUAUUUGACUUUCAGCCUGAUAAGAUUUACUGUUU